rnacentral:rRNA from 1 species
AUGUUACCAUCACUUGCAGCUUUGGCACAUGGACUGGUCAAAACAGGUAAAUCAUCUAUGUAUACAAUGGCCGACAAGUUAUUACGAUUAGUAAUAACACUCCCGGUGUCGACUGCAACAGCAGAGAGAGCAUUUUCAGCUAUGAGAAUUGUCAAGACUCAUCUUCGAAGUAAAAUGGGUGAUGACUUUCUUCAACAUUGUAUGUUAAUCUACAUCGAGAAGGAGCUAGCGUCAAAGUUUAGUUUUGAUGAAAUUAUAGACAUGUUUGAUCUUCUUGGUGCUCGGAAAGCCAAUUUUAAGCUAAUAGAAAUGUAA